rnacentral:rRNA from 1 species
GAUGAACGCUGGCGGUAUGCUUAACACAUGCAAGUCGAACGGACUCUUCGGAGUUAGUGGCGGACGGGUGAGUAACGCGUGCGAAUCUGGCUUUGGGUUCGGGACAACCACUGGAAACGGUGGCUAAUACCGGAUGUGCCGAGAGGUAAAAGAGAAAUUGCCUGAAGAUGAGCUCGCGUCUGAUUAGCUAGUUGGUGAGGUAAAGGCUCACCAAGGCAGCGAUCAGUAGCUGGUCUGAGAGGAUGACCAGCCACACUGGGACUGAGACACGGCCCAGACUCCUACGGGAGGCAGCAGUGGGGAAUUUUCCGCAAUGGGCGAAAGCCUGACGGAGCAAUACCGCGUGAGGGAAGAAGGCUCUUGGGUUGUAAACCUCUUUUCUUAGGGAAGAACAAAAUGACGGUACCUAAGGAAUCAGCAUCGGCUAACUCCGUG